rnacentral:lncRNA from 1 species
AAGAACACAGGAUUCAAGAAUGAGGGGCGCAUGGAGGCUUGCCGAAGGAGGCUUGCAUGGAAAGCUGCCAAAGCCAGGCAAUGUAUGGCUGGGUUGGAUUCCCUACAUCGAGGCCCUGAAAGGUGUGGUGGUGUCCGCCUGUGAUUCUGAACUUGGGAGAAUAUGAUAAAGAGAGUUACUACAGGUUUGAGGCCAGCAACGGUAACAGACCCGAUCCUCCUGCCUAGGAAUGGUGCUGCCCACAGUGGGCUUAAUCCUCCCACAUUAAUCAUCAGUCAAGACAAUCUCUUGUGGACAAUUCCUCAGUAGUUCAGAUUUCCUCUUCCCAGUAGCAAAUAAUUGCUCAGAAAGAUAAACAGUUGACGGAGAUUCCUCUGGCCCAAGAAUUCUACCAUGUUGCCCAGAAAAGGGAGGCCUGGAGACUAUAUCAGAUGAGAAAUACCAAAGCUAGGAGCAACAACUCACCCAUGAUUGCUCAACCAGUGAAUGCUAAAUUCAAACCCAGUCAGCCAGUCAGCUGGUUUAGAGAGUGAAGACACUUGACUGACAUUCCCCGGGAAGAUGCUCUCAACAGUUGUACUGGUGAGGUAUAUCAACCAUGGUCCACUUGAGACCAGCCCAUUUC